rnacentral:rRNA from 1 species
ACGUAGGUGGCAAGCGUUGUCCGGAAUUACUGGGUGUAAAGGGAGUGCAGGCGGGACGGCAAGUUGGAAGUGAAACCCAUGGGCUUAACCCAUGAACUGCUUUCAAAACUGCCGUUCUUGAGUGGUGCAGAGGUAGGCGGAAUUCCCGGUGUAGCGGUGGAAUGCGUAGAUAUCGGGAGGAACACCAGUGGCGAAGGCGGCCUACUGGGCACUAACUGACGCUGAGGCUCGAAAGCAUGGGUAGCAAACAG